rnacentral:tRNA from 1 species
AGGCCUGUAGCUCAAAGGACUAGAGCACGUCUCUACGAACCACGGUUUCGGGGGUUCGAAUCCCUCCUCGCCCA